CCUUCUGCCCAGAACUCAAAUGGCUGCAGAUGAAGCAGAAGCUUGUUUGGUGCAAAGACAUGCUAAUCGAAAUCGAACCCUGGAAGAAACAGGUUUAAGAAUCCUCCAAGUAAUGUGCUGUUCAUGCGUUUCAUGAAAGGAUCACUUGCAGCUGGCAUGAUGCAUGACCAACACAAAGACAGAUAGCAGAUGGAACUUUCUUGGCCUCCGAGGUGUUACCUCGAAUGCCCUGCUCUCUCCCUGUCCUCUAUCGAGGAGGAAGCUCCGUAGCCAUACGACACCGGCGAGCAGUAUGCGGUUGUGCCAGCCUUGGCUGUGGAGCCAGAAUAUCUCCAUCGAUUCUCAAGCUUCGACUCAAGGACUGGAAGGAACGACGGUGGAACAAGUUCC